rnacentral:rRNA from 1 species
GAUGAACGCUGGCGGCGUGCCUAAUACAUGCAAGUCGAGCGAACGGACGAGAAGCUUGCUUCUCUGAUGGUAGCGGCGGACGGGUGAGUAACACGUGGAUAACCUACCUAUAAGACUGGGAUAACUUCGGGAAACCAGAGCUAAUACCGGAUAAUAUUUUGAACCGCAUGGUUCAAAAGUGAAAGACGGUCUUGCUGUCACUUAUAGAUGUAUCCGCGCUGCAUUAGCUAGUUGGUAAGGUAACGGCUUACCAAGGCAACGAUGCAUAGCCGACCUGAGAGGGUGAUCGGCCACACUGGAACUGAGACACGGUCCAGACUCCUACGGGAGGCAGCAGUAGGGACUCUUCCGCAAUGGGCGAAAGCCUGACGGAGCAACGCCGCGUGAGUGAUGCAGGUCUUCGGAUCGUAAAACUCUGUUAUUAGGGAAGAACAUAUGUGUAAGUAACUGUGCACAUCUUGACGGUACCUACUCAGAAAGCCACGGCUAACUACGUG